rnacentral:rRNA from 1 species
GUGAGGAAUUUUCCGCAAUGGGCGAAAGCCUGACGGAGCAAUGCCGCGUGAAGGAUGAAGGCCUAUGGGUUGUAAACUUCUUUUCUCAGAAAAGAAUUAUGACGGUAUCUGAGGAAUAAGCAUCGGCUAACUCUGUGCCAGCAGCCGCGGUAAGACAGAGGAUGCAAGCGUUAUCCGGAAUGAUUGGGCGUAAAGCGUCUGUAGGUUGUUUAAAAAGUAUUCUGUCAAAGAUUAGGGCUUAACCCUAGAUAGGCAGAAUAAACUUUUAAGCUAGAGUUUGGUAGAGGCAGAGGGAAUUCCCGGUGGAGCGGUGAAAUGCAUAGAUAUCGGGAGGAACACCAAAGGCGAAGGCACUCUGCUGGGCCAAUACUAACACUGAGAGACGAAAGCGAGGGGAGCAAAUGGGAUUAGAUACCCGGGUAGUCC